GAUGAACGCUGGCGGCGUGCUUAACACAUGCAAGUCGAACGAUGAAGCCCAGCUUGCUGGGUGGAUUAGUGGCGAACGGGUGAGUAACACGUGAGUAACCUGCCCUUAACUCUGGGAUAAGCCUGGGAAACUGGGUCUAAUACCGGAUAGGAGCGUCCACCGCAUGGUGGGUGUUGGAAAGAUUUAUCGGUUUUGGAUGGACUCGCGGCCUAUCAGCUUGUUGGUGAGGUAAUGGCUCACCAAGGCGACGACGGGUAGCCGGCCUGAGAGGGUGACCGGCCCCACUGGGACUGCGACACGGCCCAGACUCCUACGGGAGGCAGCAGUGGGGAAUAUUGCACAAUGGGCGCAAGCCUGAUGCAGCGACGCCGCGUGAGGGAUGACGGCCUUCGGGUUGUAAACCUCUUUCAGUAGGGAAGAAGCGAAAGUGACGGUACCUGCAGAAGAAGCACCGGCUAACUACGUG
rnacentral:rRNA from 1 species